ACUACAGACUCCUAGAGAGACAGGUCAAUCCAAGUUUCUGCAGCCUCUGUGGAGGGGAACAUGCCGGCUGACAGCCUCUACUAACAGGUUGGGGCUCCCUCCUGCUGCUCCUGCCCUCCCAGCCACCAGCUCAUUGGAGCAAGACCAGGUACUGACCAUGGGCAAUUACUCUGUUUUGAGGGGGCAUGGUGCAAAAUCUUUGCUCAUGCAGAGAAGCUGGAUCAAUCAUGAUCUCAUUAUUGGAUUUGAGUUGAGGUAUAAGUAGAACGUUCAACUGUUCACAGUGAAUUCACGGCUUAAAGAUGCAUGAAGGAGAGCCAUGAGGGAGAGUAAUUGCCUUGAAAAGUCAAAAAUAGGUCAGUUAACAUUAUUGGGAAGCAGGAUGUGUAAGAAAGGCUAUCAGGUUGAUAUAAAUACGUAGAAUAAAGAGUUAUGUUUUAGGGUAAAGACCGGAGAU
rnacentral:lncRNA from 1 species